rnacentral:rRNA from 1 species
UACGAAGGGGGCUAGCGUUGUUCGGAAUUACUGGGCGUAAAGCGUGCGCAGGCGGCUUCUCAAGUCAGAGGUGAAAGCCCAGGGCUCAACCUUGGAAUUGCCUUUGAUACUGGCUGUCUUGAGUUCGGGAGAGGUGAGUGGAAUGCCGAGUGUAGAGGUGAAAUUCGUAGAUAUUCGGCGGAACACCAGUGGCGAAGGCGACUCACUGGCCCGAUACUGACGCUGAGGCGCGAAAGCGUGGGGAGCAAACAGG